UGUAUAGAGAGGUCUGGGUACUGAGUUUGCCGGAGUGCUGGUGAGGUCUGGGUACCGAGUGUGGUGGCAUGAUGGUGAGGUCUGGGUACCAAGGGUGGCAGCGUGAUGGUGAGGUCUGGGUACUGAGGGUGGCAGUGUGAUGGUGAGGUCUGGGUACCGAGGGUGGCAGCGUGAUGGUGAGGUCUGGGUACCGAGGGUGGCAGUGUGAUGGUGAGGUCUGAGUAAUGAGGGUGGCAGCGUGAUGGUGAGGUCUGGGUACCGAGGGUGGCAGUGUGAUGGUGAGGUCUGCGUAAUGAGGGUGGCAGUGUGAUGGUGAGGUCUGGGUACUGAGGGUGGCGGCGAGGUCUGGGUACCGAGGGUGGUGGCGUGAUGGAGAGGUCUGGUGGGUACUGAGUGUGGCGUGAUGAUGAUCUUUGGGUAAACUUCUUAUUAUUUUUGCUGCUCCAAUAUUUGGAAAUCUUUUUUUUUUUCUGCCCCAUGCGUAGAAAGUAUUAAUACCACCUGCUGGGCAACGUUACGUUUACACAUUCCUCCGCUGACUGCAGGAGAGCACAACCAACUUACCUAGCUUUGAGAUGAAUGUGCAGGACGGGGCAUCGUCGGAGCAUCUAAAAUAUAACAUUUUGUAA